rnacentral:rRNA from 1 species
UUAUCGUUUAUUUGAUAGUACCUUACUACUUGGAUAACCGUGGUAAUUCUAGAGCUAAUACAUGCUAAAAAUCCCGACUUCGGAAGGGAUGUAUUUAUUAGAUUAAAAACCAAUGCCCUCUGGGCUCACUGGUGAUUCAUAAUAACUUCUCGAAUCGCAUGGCCUUGUGCCGGCGAUGGUUCAUUCAAAUUUCUGCCCUAUCAACUUUCGACGGCUGGGUCUUGGCCAGCCAUGGUGACAACGGGUAACGGAGGGUUAGGGCUCGACCCCGGAGAAGGAGCCUGAGAAACGGCUACUACAUCCAAGGAAGGCAGCAGGCGCGCAAAUUACCCAAUCCCGACACGGGGAGGUAGUGACAAUAAAUACUGAUACAGGGCUCUUUUGGGUCUUGUAAUUGGAAUGAGUACAAUUUAAAUCCCUUAACGAGGAACAAUUGGAGGGCAAGUCUGGUGCCAGCAGCCGCGGUAAUUCCAGCUCCAAUAGCGUAUAUUAAAGUUGUUGCGGUUAAAAAGCUCGUAGUUGAACCUUGGGCCUGGCUGGCCGGUCCGCCUCACCGCGAGUACUGGUCCGGCCGGGCCUUUCCCUCUGGGGAACCGCAUGCCCUUCACUGGGUGGUGUCGGGGAACCAGGACUUUUACUUUGAAAAAAUUAGAGUGUUCAAAGCAGGCCUAUGCUCGAAUACAUUAGCAUGGAAUAAUAGAAUAAGGACGUGCGGUUCUAUUUUUGUUGGUUUCUAGGACCGCCGUAAUGAUUAAUAGGGACAGUCGGGGGCAUCAGUAUUCAAUUGGCAGAGGUGAAAUUCUUGGAUUUAUUGAAGACUAACUACUGCGAAAGCAUUGGCCAAGGAUGUUU